rnacentral:rRNA from 1 species
UUGGUCAUUUAGAGGAAGUAAAAGUCGUANCAAGGUCUCCGUAGGUGAACCUNCGGAGGGAUCAUUACACAAAUAUGAAGGCGGGCUGGAACCUCUCGGGGUUACAGCCUUGCUGAAUUAUUCACCCUUGUCUUUUGCGUACUUCUUGUUUCCUUGGUGGGUUCGCCCACCACUAGGACAAACAUAAACCUUUUGUAAUUGCAAUCAGCGUCAGUAACAAAUUAAUAAUUACAACUUUCAACAACGGAUCUCUUGGUUCUGGCAUCGAUGAAGAACGCAGCGAAAUGCGAUAAGUAGUGUGAAUUGCAGAAUUCAGUGAAUCAUCGAAUCUUUGAACGCACAUUGCGCCCUUUGGUAUUCCAAAGGGCAUGCCUGUUCGAGCGUCAUUUGUACCCUCAAGCUUUGCUUGGUGUUGGGCGUCUUGUCUCUAGCUUUGCUGGAGACUCGCCUUAAAGUAAUUGGCAGCCGGCCUACUGGUUUCGGAGCGCAGCACANGUCGCACUCUCNNUCAGCAAAGGUCUAGCAUCCAUUAAGCCUUUUUUCAACUUUUGACCUCGGG